AAUCUAGCCAACCGAGUCAUCGGAACGAAUUUCACACCCGUCGCAAUGGAAUUUUACGGCCGGGUCGAGAGAAUUUGGGCGCAUGCGGACGCAAGUCUAGGCUGUGGUUACCAAAUUGCGAGUGCCCUGGGUAGACUGCAGUGGGAGAGGAUUGGGGAAUUGGAGGAACAACAGAGAAUAAGAGGAACGAACAUAGAAGGUGAGAGCGGUUCCGGCGAGCACAUUCCAAACCACUUUCCCCUUGGCUUCUUCCUUCGAUCCCCCAACCCCCGAGUCCAGAUGAGUGAGAGCGGUUCCGGCGAGGACAUGACCCACCGCCGCCGCCGCCGCGGCAGCAGCCCGCCUACGGGGCCUGCCUCCCUGCCGGGCGACGGCGAUCUCCUCUGGGAGAUCCUCCUCCGCCUCCCGCCGCAGCCGUCCUCGCUCCGCCGUCUGCAGGCAAUGGCGGCGCCUCGCCACCGACCCCAAAUUCCUCCGCCGCUUCCGCGAGCACCACCGCAAGCCGCCGCUCCUCGGCGUCUUCGAGUGCCGCGACGAAGCCGUGGUCUUCACCUCCGUCCUCGACCCUCCCGACCGCAUCCGUCCCGAGCGCUUCGACCUGGGACGCUACAGCGGCCGCCGCGACUACACCUUGGCCUGCUGCCGCCACGGCCGCAUCCUCGUCUUAGACCAUGUGGACGGAUGCCUCGUCGUGUGCGCCCCCAUCACCGGCGAGCAGCGCCGCGUGGCCGUUCCGCCCGAGUUCAUGACGGCCCCCUCAACACGUGGAGGUGCUCUUCGCUACCGGCGACAUUGGCCACGUGCACGGAGAAUGCCACUCCGGCCCCUUCAAGGUGGUCCUGGUGUCCAUGAUCGGAGAGGAUUUUCGACCCAUCGCUUGUGUCUACUCCUCUGAGACCGGCUUAUGGGGCAGUCUCGUAUCAAGUCCAUGUUCACCUCCUUUCGGGUAUGGUAGAACUGGCAGACUUGUUGGCAACACACUUUACUGGUUGCUUUGGUCUGUUAUGCGGGAUAGCAUACUUGAGUUUGAUUUGGAAAAUUUGAGUCUGGUUUUGAUGGAUCAGCCACCCAUUGACGAUGAUUUUCGCCUUGCCGGCUGUCAGAUCAUCAAGGCUGAGGAUGACGCUCUUGGCUUUGCCUAUUUGUCUUACCCAAGCUUCCAAAUGUGGCAGAGGAAUUUCAAUGCUCAUGGUGUUGCCAUAUGGGUGCUGUGGAAGACCAUCGAAUUGCAUAGCAUUCUUGGGCUUCCUCCUCAUAUUCAGAGACCCACAGCUGAGGUGGUAACUGUUACGGACUUGAUCUUUCAAAAAACUGUUACGGACUUGGACCAUGCUGGGAAGAUGGGAGUUAUACUGAGCUAUGCUGAGGAUACUGAUGUAGUUUUUUAUAUUUGUGGAUGCAAAUGUCUACAUGGUUCAACUUAAUCCAAUGCAAUCCAAGAAACUUCAUGAAACAAAGUGCAUCCUUGACAACUAUCCUUUCACAGGUUUCUAUACACCGGGUAAUUGCUCAUCUUAGUCCUAAUAUUUUAGGAACAACCCAAUCCAGCUAUAUUUCUUACAAUGUUGCCAUAUGGGUGCUGUGGAAGACCAUUGAAUUGCAUAGCAUUCUUGGGCUUCCUCCUCAGAUUCAGUGACCCGCAAGUGAGGUGGUAACUGUUACGGACUCGGACCAUGCUGGGAAGAUGGGAGUUAUACUGAGCUAUGCUGAGGAUACUGAUGUAGUUUUUAUAUUUGUGGAUGCAAAUGUCUACAAUUCAAGUGUAUCCUUGACAACUAUCCUUUCACAAGUUUCUAUGCGCCAGGCACAGCCAUUGCUGAUGGAUCUAAUGGAGCUGAAAACGCUGCACAACACAUUGGAUGAUUGCUAAUGUGCUGAAAUGGUUCAGCAUGCGAAGGAACAGCUGCUGCAGUUCUAGCUGGGUCUGUCGCAUCGUCUAUGUGUUUGGCAGAAUUUAUAAGUUAUCUACCCGAACUUCCUGAACGUGUGCUAAGUUUCUAAUGUAACAAGAUGCUUUUAAAUAGCCUACUAUUUUGCUGUAUCUCCCGAGUAAUAUUUUCAGUCGUAUUUCA